CUCGGUUCGUGUCCGAGUUUGGUAUUAUAAGUGUUUUCUCUCGCUACCGAGGUUAGAUGUUUACACAUCACUGGCGAGUUCUGAAACACUCGCUCACAUGUUUUUUUUUUUUUUAAUUGUGGGUUUGGAAAAACUAUACAUUUUUCCCCCGGGCUCAUAGUUUCCAUUGGCGUGUCUGAGACAAGGCAUACCUGUUUUGCAGCUGGGGAUCACGGAAGUGUUCGAGGCGGGACGCUCUGACCUUAGUGGCAUCUCCAGCGAGCCCUUGUCCGUGUCCGAUGUCCUUCAGAAGGCGACCAUGGAGAUAGACGAAGAAGGAGGUGUUGCAUCAGCGGCAGCAGUUGGGCAGAUUGUGGCUCUGUCUGCGCCAGUAUUUUUGGAUCUACAGGAAAUCCGCGUGGAUCACCCAUUCAUCGCGAUAAUUGUCGACAGGAUCAGAGAGGUGCCGCUCUUCAUAAGCACAAUCGUCGAUCCAUCGACAUAAAUUAGAAGACAUUUACGAAAGAAUGGAAAGCUCCAGCAGCAUAAUACACUCAUUGUCAACCAGAAGCAGAGAACUUACAUGAACAGUUAUAAAUUUUAAUUGUUCGUUUACAUAUUAUGUUUUUCAUUUUUUUCUGGAGAAUUUUAUGUUUGUAUUUUUUAUUGUGUGGCACAAUUCAUUUGAGUUGUAAUAAACCAAGCAAGUUUAUUAUACAUAAAAUUAUGAAAGUUUA